rnacentral:rRNA from 1 species
GAUGAACGCUAGCGGCAGGCUUAAUACAUGCAAGUCGAGGAGCAGCAGGGUGUAGCAAUGCAUCGCUGGCGACCGGCAAACGGGUGCGGAACACGUACGCAAUCUUCCCAAAACUGAUGAGUAGCCCUCCGAAAGGAGGAUUAAUACAUCGUAACAUAAUGAAGUGGCAUCACUUUAUUAUUAUAGCUCCGGCGGUUUUGGAUGAGCGUGCGUCUGAUUAGGUAGUUGGCGGGGUAACGGCCCACCAAGCCUACGAUCAGUAACUGGUGUGAGAGCACGUCCAGUCACACGGGCACUGAGACACGGGCCCGACUCCUACGGGAGGCAGCAGUAAGGAAUAUUGGUCAAUGGACGCAAGUCUGAACCAGCCAUGCCGCGUGGAGGAUGAAGGCCCUCUGGGUUGUAAACUUCUCUUAUCUGGGACGAAACCUGACCAUUCCUGGUCAGCUGACGGUACCAGAGGAAUAAGCACCGGCUAACUCCGUGCCAGCAGCCGCCGUUA